rnacentral:rRNA from 1 species
UCCAAUCGAACUCGGAGAUAGCUGGUUCUCCCCGAAAUAGCUUUAGGGCUAGCGUCGGAUAUGUGUAGUGGAGGUAGAGCACUGAAUGGGCUAGGGGGCAUAUCGCUUACCGAACCUUAUCAAACUCCGAAUGCCAUAUACAUUUAGUCCGGCAGUCAGACUACGAAUGAUAAGAUCCGUGGUCAAAAGGGAAACAGCCCAGAUCGUCAGCUAAGGUCCCAAAGUGUAAGUUAAGUGGAAAAGGAUGUGGGAUUUCUAAGACAACUAGGAUGUUGGCUUAGAAGCAGCCACUCAUUUAAAGAGUGCGUAAUAGCUCACUAGUCGAGAGAUCCUGCGCCGAAAAUGUCCGGGGCUAAAACUUACCACCGAAGCUACGGGCUUGCGUAAGCAAGCGGUAGGGGAGCGUCGUAAUCGGGCUGAAGUCGUACCGUAAGGAGCGGUGGACUGAUUACGAGUGAGAAUGUUGGCAUUAGUAGCGAGAUGUAGGUGAGAAUCCUACAGGCCGAAUAUCUAAGGUUUCCUCAGGAAGGCUCGUCCGCUGAGGGUUAGUCGGGACCUAAGCCGAGGCCGAAAGGCGUAGGCGAUGGACAACAGGUUGAUAUUCCUGUACCACUACCAUCGUUAUUAUCGAGGGUGUGACGGAGAAGGAUAGUGUGUGCUAGCGAUUGGAAAUGCUAGUCUAAGCGUUUAGGCAGUUACGGUAGGCAAAUCCGCUGUAACGUUAAUGCUGAGGCGUGAUGGGGAAGGCCCUUGAGGCUGAAGUACAUGAUUCCAUGCUUCCAAGAAAAGCAUCUAGAGAGAGAAGUAGUGCCCGUACCGCAAACCGACACAGGUAGAUGAGGAGAGAAUCCUAAGGCCGGCGGAAGAAUUGCAGUUAAGGAACUAGGCAAAUUGACCCCGUAAGUUAGCGAGAAGGGGUGCCUGCGAGAGCAGGCCGCAGAGAAUAGGCCCAAGCAACUGUUUAGCAAAAACACAGGUCUCUGCUAAAGCGCAAGCUGAUGUAUAGGGGCUGACGCCUGCCCGGUGCUGGAAGGUUAAGGGGAACACUUAGCGCAAGCGAAGGUGUGAACUUAAGCCCCAGUAAACGGCGGCCGUAACUAUAACGGUCCUAAGGUAGCGAAAUUCCUUGUCAGGUAAGUUCUGACCCGCACGAAUGGCGUAAUGACUUGGGCACUGUCUCAACUGCAAAUCCGGCGAAGUUGUAGUGCGAGUGAAGAUGCUCGCUACCCGCGAUUGGACGGAAAGACCCCGUAGAGCUUUACUGUAGCUUAGCAUUGAAUUCCGGUAUUGUCUGUACAGGAUAGGUGGGAGACUGGGAAACUAGGGCGUCAGCCUUAGUGGAGUCGUCCUUGGGAUACCACCCUGACAGUACUGGGGUUCUAACAGGACGCCAUGAAUCUGGUGACUGGACAUUGUUAGGUGGGCAGUUUGACUGGGGCGGUCGCCUCCUAAAAAGUAACGGAGGCGCCCAAAGGUUCCCUCAGAACGGUCGGAAAUCGUUCGUAGAGUGCAAAGGCAGAAGGGAGCCUGACUGCGAGACCUACAAGUCGAGCAGGGACGAAAGUCGGGCUUAGUGAUCCGGUGGUACCUCGUGGGAGGGCCAUCGCUCAACGGAUAAAAGCUACCUCGGGGAUAACAGGCUGAUCUCCCCCAAGAGUCCACAUCGACGGGGAGGUUUGGCAC